UUAUUCUCCUCCUGUGAUCUAAGGCUUGAUGAUGGACCUCCACUCAACGGUCGUGAUGGAUGGAUUAGGUCAGGGUGGAUGAACCACUUUGAUGUUGCUGGUUGUUCAUAACAUGUACUUGGGCUCCUCCUUCCAGCUUCAGAGUGCAAUGGAGGAAUGGUGAGCUGAAGCUUCGCUGUUUUUCUUCCCCAUCAGAACUCAAACCAGCUAUUUGGAAGGAAUGACAUGCUUUUCUCUGAACUCUUUAUUCCCUGGCUCAUUUCCUAAAUUGAUGCCCUCUGACCCACACUUUGGAGCCUAUAUUGUGAGAUCUAUUGAUCUGUUUUUUUGGGACAGAAUUAUGAUGUAAGUACUAUACUUUUAAUAGCAACCAUUUUCUUUGUGAA